AGUGAACGCUGGCGGUAGGCCUAACACAUGCAAGUCGAACGGCAGCACAGUAAGAGCUUGCUCUUACGGGUGGCGAGUGGCGGACGGGUGAGGAAUACAUCGGAAUCUACUUUUUCGUGGGGGAUAACGUAGGGAAACUUACGCUAAUACCGCAUACGACCUACGGGUGAAAGCAGGGGAUCUUCGGACCUUGCGCGAUUGAAUGAGCCGAUGUCGGAUUAGCUAGUUGGCGGGGUAAAGGCCCACCAAGGCGACGAUCCGUAGCUGGUCUGAGAGGAUGAUCGGCCACACUGGAACUGGGACACGGUCCAGACUCCUACGGGAGGGAGCAGUGGGGAAUAUUGGACAAUGGGCGCAAGCCUGAUCCAGCCAGACCGCGUGGGUGAAGAAGGCCUUCGGUGUGUAAAGCCCUUUUGUUGGGAAAGAAAAGCAGCAGGUUAAUACCCCGCUGUUCUGACGGUACCCAAAGAAUAAGCACCGGCUAACUUCGUG
rnacentral:rRNA from 1 species